CAGGGUUGUUGGUAGAAAUCUUAAAGAAGAGUUCUUCGGUGCCUUUGAUGGUUUUUGUCGAAGCUUAAUGGAAAUCUUCGAGAGGAAGACAGGUCGGAUAGGCAAGCAGUUAGCUGACCUGGCACAACAGACAACGAGCACUGAGCCAACAGCCAUUAGAUGCCUUAUCCUGAGAGGACUUCCAGUCAUUCUUGGGGAUGAUGCAUCUAUGUUCUUUAAGAGCAGUUCGAAUCUUAAUGAGGGAGACUCUGUGGACAUUCCCGUGGGAAUCCUCUGCUAUAAG